rnacentral:rRNA from 1 species
UACGGAGGAGGCAAGCGUUAUCCGGAAUUAUUGGGCGUAAAGCGUCCGCAGGUGGCACCUCAAGUCUGCUGUCAAAGACCGGGGCUUAACCCCAGAAAGGCAGUGGAAACUGAAGUGCUAGAGUGCAGUAGGGGUAGAGGGAAUUCCCGGUGUAGCGGUGAAAUGCGUAGAGAUCGUGAGGAAGACCCGUGGCGAAGGCGGAUCUCUGGACGGCUAACUGACGCUGAGGCGCGAAGGCCAGGGGAGCAAACGGG